AUUGAACGCUGGCGGCAUGCUUUACACAUGCAAGUCGAACGGUAACAGGUUAAGCUGACGAGUGGCGAACGGGUGAGUAAUGCAUCGGAACGUGCCCGGUCGUGGGGGAUAACGCAGCGAAAGCUGCGCUAAUACCGCAUACGAUCUGAGGAUGAAAGCGGGGGACCGUAAGGCCUCGCGCGAUCGGAGCGGCCGAUGUCAGAUUAGGUAGUUGGUGGGGUAAAGGCUCACCAAGCCAACGAUCUGUAGCUGGGCUGAGAGGGCGACCAGCCACACUGGGACUGAGACACGGCCCAGACUCCUACGGGAGGCAGCAGUGGGGAAUUUUGGACAAUGGGCGAAAGCCUGAUCCAGCAACGCCGCGUGCAGGAAGAAGGCCUUCGGGUUGUAAACUGCUUUUGUACGGAGCGAAAAGGUCUCCUCUAAUACAGGGGGCUCAUGACGGUACCGUAAGAAUAAGCACCGGCUAACUACGUGCCAGCCGCCGCAGUAA
rnacentral:rRNA from 1 species